CAGGGUUCAGACCAAAAUAAAUUCAGAUCAACAACUUAUUUAUAAAAUUAUAACUGCGUGCAAAUAUGAAAACAAAAAUGAAUAACAAUCAGUCAUAAAUCACAUUAUAAGUGCGCGCCAAUAGUAAUGUAGAUGAUUGCAAAAAACCUUUCAGAAGACCUAAAAACUAAAAAGUUAGGAAACCGUUCCCACGAAACUGAUAACAUUUAAGUGUGGGAAACGAGAAUUACAUUUCCUUUUAGCUGGUUAAAUAAUUAGAGGGUGGAUUAUACAUUAUACAGAGUAUGAGGGUGCAAAGUCAAGUGUAUGCGUCAAAUGAAAAUCGUAUAGGAGGGGACCCCUCUGCGAUAAAACUGUGUGAACGCGUAGCGCGGUUUUAUUUAUUACUAAGUUGUCGAUGCGUUAAGAGCGAGGGUUCUCGGUCAAAUUGUAGUUGGGUUUUGCGAGAAAAGUUUUACGUUUAGUCGUGAAAGUUCGCUAAAAUGUCAGUGAAAAAGUUUUUUUCUGAAGCUGGUCAAAACUGCUUAAAAGUUUUUAAAAGUUGGUCCAAACACUUCCAAAAUGUGAAGUACCACAAGAAAAAGUGCCGGCAUAGCUCGAUUUACUCGGUUUCUACGUUUGGAAGGGCAAGUGUGUCUACGGAAAUCACUCUCCUAGAAUACGACGUAACCAAAUGCAUGUGCCAAGAAAAUCAUAAUGAAAUUAAUGAAAAUAAAUUAAAUGAAAGCAUUGAACAAACGUGGAUUUGUAAAUACUAUUAGAUUUUUGUGUGUUUGUGAAAAUACUCGAUAAAAUAUAUGAUUUUUUUUGUGUUUUGAUCCUGAUAGUUGGCUGUGAUGAUUGUAUAUAUGUAUAAUAUUUAAGUUAUUUACUUUUUUGUGAAUAAAGUCUCUCGUGUGUUUUUA